AAUGACAUGUCACCAUUUACAACCUUUACUCAAGUUCAAGCUUUAUCACAAAUUAUUAAUUCAUUCUCAUUCUUUCAUGGAUUAUAAUCAUUAUAAUUACUAAUUUAACCCCAACUUAGUUUAGCUUUAUUCACAACUUGAUUUAACAUUCUCAUUUAAUAGCUAUAGUGGCCCAAAUUCAUCCGGCCUAGAAAAAAAAACAAAAAAAUAUUAACAUCAAAGUCCACUUAAAAAAAACAACAGAUUUGCCCAAAUUACAAGCCCAAACAUAAACUACCCUAACCCAAACCUACUAAACCCAAUAACUCAGCAGCACAAAAACUCAAAACCUAAAAAUUUUCAGAAACCUUAGCUCCCUCUUUAACUCCC
rnacentral:lncRNA from 1 species